rnacentral:rRNA from 1 species
AUUGAACGCUGGCGGCAGGCUUAACACAUGCAAGUCGAGCGGAGCGAGGGUGCUUGCACCUUAGCUUAGCGGCGGACGGGUGAGUAAUGCUUAGGAAUCUGCCUAUUAGUGGGGGACAACAUUCCGAAAGGAAUGCUAAUACCGCAUACGCCCUACGGGGGAAAGCAGGGGAUCUUCGGACCUUGCGCUAAUAGAUGAGCCUCGGUCGGAUUAGCUAGUUGGUUGGGUAAAGGCCUACCAAGGCGACGAUCUGUAGCGGGUCUGAGAGGAUGAUCCGCCACACUGGGACUGGGACACGGCACAGACUCCUACGGGAGGCAGCAGUGGGGAAUAUUGGACAAUGGGCGGAAACCUGAUCCAGCCAUGCCGCGUGUGUGAAGAAGGCCUUUUGGUUGUAAAGCACUUUAAGCGAGGAGGAGGCUACCUAGAUUAAUACUCUGGGAUAGUGGACGUUACUCGCAGAAUAAGCACCGGCUAACUCUGUGCCAGCAGCCGCGGUAA